UCUCGACUUUUUUCUUGAAAUUUAACGAGUUUAAUCUCGAGAUGGUUUUUAUUUUUUUUAUUAUUGCUUGGCCCUAAUCCUUUUCCGUACUUGUCAGUAAAUGACAAAAAUGUAAUUAAAAUUUGACAUAUUUAUCUCUUCUUACCAACACAAUCAAUCUCUUUAUAUUUUUUCCCUUUUUUGGAAAAUUGUGUAAACUCUAUCAUAGACUUUUUUUUUUCUUUUGCUAUUGGAGGAAAUGGAAAUACAGAAAUUAUUUUUGCUGUUGUCUCCCGUUCACCGCUAUAGAUGUUUACCAGACUAGAACGACUUCCACUUCUGAGAACCCCAGAAAUGUGAAAAGGGUCCAUUGACAAAACCAAGUCCCGCCAUUUCACGUGGUUAUACGUCACAAUAGGGAAGAAGAGUAUCGCGACAUGACGACUUUAAGUAACUAGUCCAUUGCUGCUUAUCAACCUGAGAUAUUUUUGGAAUUUUAGAUCAGAUGCAGACCACAGAUGGAAAGCCCGUCUGAACCAACAACAACAGCGACAGCUUGACCAAGUACUGUCUGUAGUGCAUGCCUGCACAUAUGACAAUAUUUCAGAUGUAAUAGCUGAUACAAUUGUUAGGUAGCACUUUAUUUUACAGUCCUGUUGCCCAUGUACAUAUCAUGUACUUAUUACAGUAAUAGCAACCCUGAACCUACCCCUAAACCUAACCUUAAAACCUGUAGUUACCUUAUAUCACCCAGUAUUUUCUUAGGUAAGUACACGUGCUGUAAAAUAAAGUGCAACCAAUUGUUAUUUAUUGUGUUUAAGAUAUCUUUUAUAUUGGUUUGUGUCUUGCCUUGGCUUAUGGAAUCAAGGAUGAUGUAAGAAAUUAUGUGAAUGAAAUGAAAGUGAUAUAAAAUGCAAAAAUAAGCAGUCAGUUAUUAUAAGCAUAUAAUAAAUUCCAUUACCGUGAAUAGCAGUACUGGAAUUCAAACAGUGAUAUGUGUAUGCAUACAUACAUAUGCAAAAAAAAAUGGAAAGCAAUUGCUUCAGACAAGUAAUUGCACUCAAGUGUCUCGGCUGACACCAAGGAGGCACGUGCCUAGUGUUUUAAUGUGUCACUGGAUGUUUGAAUGUUUUUAUGUCAUGACCCAUAUGCUUACUGUCUGCUCACAGCAGUAAUUUUUCACUGUCUGUUUACCCUGUCUGCUAUGUCUGACUUGCCAUUAUUAUGGAUCCCCACAGCUAUCUUACUAAAUAGGCUUCACUUUUUCCACAUUAUUGUUUUGGACUGUGUAACUCUAUCUGUGUAAUUGCAUCUUGUAGCUAAAAGGUAUUUAUCAUCUCACAAAACAGUAAAAAAAAAAUAAUCUUUCUGCUUGUUGGACUGCCUCUUUGCCACAAGAGUCUGCCACAUGGAGCGUGUCUAACAUUGACCUUUACUAAGCCUGCUUUUUAUUCAGUAGACAUGAUGAUGAAUAAUUGUAUGCCAAUUAAGUCUUUACAAAAGCGGAACUUCCUCUCAUGUCGCACAUGAUCAUUCUGUUCAUCAGCAGGAGACUUAUGAUUUUAUGAUUUUGUAGUAAAAACUAAUGAAUGGAAACUGGAUAUCUGGAUUGCAUGAUAUGAAUUAUAUAAUUUAUAAACACUCACGGACACCGUGUGAUGCAAUGUUUAAAAUCUUUUAAAAAACACAUUUGGAAUUUUCUAUAAAAUGGAAAAUAAAACCCUUUCGUGGAAUAAUCCAGUAUAAAUGUCACAUAAGAAUACCCCACAGAAAACAGCGAAAAAUUGAAAUCAUUACAUAACAAAUCCAAUGCUUAAGAACAAGUGAGGCGUGAUUUUUUUAAAGCGUUGUUAAUUGUGCAUCUGAUGAUGCUCUAUGUUUUUGAGAGGUAAUUGCUCGUGAUAUCGUUUGGAACAAUAUGAGGAGUGAACUGCACGCGCUAAUGAUAUAGCAACUCGCACCUACAGUGCUGUGAAAAGUGUUGUAUUUCCAGCCUUGGGCAAUAAUUAUAGGUCUGGGAGCAUUCCCGGAGGAUGUGUAGGCUAUUGCUCGCUUUACAGGUAUGCUGUAGUGAGGAAAACGUGAAUAGGGGCGCUCCGACACUCCAGCCGAAGGAUGCGAUAGUGUCACGGCGCGUCGUCGUUACGGACUGAUCAAAGGGAAUUCCGUAAAAGUGGUCAGAAAACUGUUACAGGUUUUUUGCUCAUCGUGGGGGAUGUCGAAAGGGUAACGACUAUAGGGACCAAAUUCCCUUUGGCGGUGGAAUAUGUUUUCCUCUAAUCAAGUUUGAGCAGAUAUUUUGGAUGAUAUCAGCAGAGCAGAUAACUCGACAUAAUGCUGUGGAUGGGGACAGAAUUGCUGCUUCUUUUUAUUUUCCCAUUGAAUUCAGCGCAGAACUCUGAACUACCUGCAGUUAUGGACAGUGAUGUGCUCGCCGAAUAUGCAUACCAGUCUGGGCCGUCAUACCUGAGUCUGAUCCUGCUGGUUCUAACCGUGGGACUGUCCGGCAGUGUUUACCUCUGUGUGCUCCGGUACAUUUGUACCGGCUGCUGCCAGCCUGUAGUUGUUGGACCUGAAGAUGAGAGCAUGUCAGGAGUGGUGUGAAAGCAGCUUUUGUUUAAAAGUGUGUCUGUCUUCAUGAUUGUGUUGGUUAGCUUGUGGCAACAACAAAUCAUACUUUUUUUCAUUCAUUUGAAGGACAUCAGAAUGUUAUUGUAAGAUUUUGAAUUUGUAUAAUACAUUUCUUGUGACGUUCCUCAUUUGUUAGUCACUUUACAUAAACGCAUCUGCUAAAUGAUUACUAAAUUUACAGCCUAUAUGUUGGCAAUAAAAGCAUUCAUUUAGCCUAGUCAGACAUGUGAUUAUAUGGAUGAUGCAAGGGCUGACUGAAUGAGAGGGAGGGGUAAACCAUUUUACCAGGCGUUGGAUGCUCUGUCAAUCAAGAGAAGUCCUUUUCACAAGCCCUGUUUGCAAUGGUAUGACACAGUCUGCAGUAACACCUGUAUACUUUCAAUGAAUGUAAAGAGCUUUUUAAAAACAAGGUCAAACAAAUAUGGAACCAUUUAUGUGAAAAAAUUGUUUUGUCCACAUUUAUGUAUUUUAAGUACUCUUUAAAGUGAUCCAGAAUUUAGUUUUUUAUUAAGGAUAAAGCGGUCCAUGCAGUGACGCGGUGCAACUUUCUAUUAUUGGCAGAAUUUCAACCAUAAUAUGUUAUUUACAUGUCAACAUCUCUUGUUUCAUUAAGUAGGAUGUUCCCUGGGGAAGUGAUCAGUUGCCAAGGGCUACUGCGGGAUCUAGUUGCCAUGGAAAUAAUUGCAUCUGCUUACCUCUAGAUGGGGCUGUCACAUCAUCUGUUCAGAAUGCUUACCUAGGCCUCUUCAAAAAAUUGCUGGAUUACAUCUUGUAGAAAUACUUUUGUAGAUCACUGUGUAGAUCACAAUGUUCUGUGUGUGUUCUAGUGUAAACACAUUAUGUUCAUUGCAAAUGCACAUGAAUACCACAGCGUGAAUAGAUUUUUAGUAAUUUUAUAGUAUUUUGUAUUAAUCGUAAUUUUGCAGUGAUGUACAAAACAGCUAUUAAAAACCAGGUUUACUUAUACAGUGUCAUCAGUUUUUUAAAGUAGACUAUAUAUGGCCAUAUUUGACUAGUUCAAAUGAACUAGCUAUUUAUAAAUAAAACGUUUCUCUCAAAACAAUACAUGUUUUCAUGCUCCUCCCAAAUGAAGUCACAGGUUGACACCAUUGUGGUUUUGCUCUUUAAACCACUUCCUCAUACAGAAAGGUAUGUUGAUUGCUGUACUUCCCCUCAGAAACAUUUCCUUUGCUUACCCCAUGUUUGACUCUGACACUGGGUUUUAAUGCUUUAGAGGUCACAGGUCAUUGUUUUUGACCACUAUUCAUUUGUUCACUAUAGUAUUUAUAAAUCUAAUACAAUAAAAUUAAAAGU